GCCUCGGUAGCCCAGUCGGCAAAGUGCGUGCCUUUUAAGCCCGUGGCCGCGGGUUCGAGCCCCGUCCAAUGUG
rfam:Perkinsus marinus ATCC 50983 gcontig_1104296707880, whole genome shotgun sequence.